CCUUUAUAAAUUAUGGUCUACUUUUUCUAGUUUAUUAAAGUUGCACUUUUGUGUUUUUGGCAAUUUGGUAUCAUUUCGUAGCUAUUACGUUGAAAUCUACCAUAUGUUUUCCUAUAUAUUUCGACCGGAGUUUGUGAAGUAUAAUUUAAAUUACACAAGGGCAUCUUAGGCCUGUUAGUGUAAUUAUGAUUAUACGAGCAAACGAAGGCAGAAAUAUAUGGGCCCACCCUUUACCCUCAAGCGGUGUUUCUCCCGUACCCUGUUUUUUCAGACGUGUUGAAAAUAACCGAUUAGGCACGGGGAGUUGGCGUAUUUAUAUGCCGGGUCAUGUGACCCAUUCUUUUCUUUCUUUUCUCUUCUUCCGGUUCCGGAAGCGUACAAACGUGAGUUAGAGCACGGUAAGGCAAGCUUUACCAUAUGUUUUCCCAUAUAUUUCUCCCUUCGUUUGCUCGUAUAAUCAUAAUUACACUAACAGGCCUAAGAGGCCCUUGUGUAAUUUAAAUUGUCCCCAAACAGUGCAGCAGUAUAAAUCAAUCCUUGGUUGAAAGAAAGUUUUAUAGAACUUGUUUGAAGUGGCAGAUAAAUCAUUCUUUUUUUUUAAUUUUUAUUUUUAAUCUUUAUUCUGAAUGAUAUCUGGCCAUUUACAAUAGGUUAGAUGCGCACUAAGACAUGAUUUCAGCAAUCAGUGAUUCGCGUCUAUUCCUAUGCCUACAUCGCUUGUAAUCGAUUUAUCACUAUGGACU